GACAGAGGCCCCGAGCGUUAGGCGGAAUCACUGGGCUUAAAGCGUGUGUAGGCGGAUUCCUAAGUACCUUGUGAAAUCCCCGGGCUCAACCCGGGAACUGCUUGGUAUACUGGGUAUCUUGAGCCAGCUAGGGGCGACCGGAACAAACGGUGGAGCGGUGAAAUGCGUAGAUAUCGUUUGGAACGCCAAUGGUGAAAACAGGUCGCUGGGGCUGUGCUGACGCUGAGACACGAAAGCCAGGGGAGCGAACGGG
rnacentral:rRNA from 1 species